GGAUGCGAUCAUACCAGCACUAAAGCAUCGGAUCCCAUCAGAACUCCGAAGUUAAGCGUGCUUGGGCGAGAGUAGUACUAGGAUGGGUGACCUCCUGGGAAGUCUUCGUGUUGCAUUCC
rnacentral:rRNA from 1 species